ACAUUCAAGAACAGUACAAAAACAUUCUUGCGUCAAUAAGAAUGAUGAAGCUUCGGUGUAAUUGAAAUCAGAUGAAGAUGGCAAGCAAAACUUUGCAGAUCUAAGACUUUUUCUUUCUCUAAUAACUUUGCAGGAAACAAGCAGAGCUAGGGAAUAUGACAAGCCCGGAUCUGAUAGGUUUGCUUCUGUAUGGUUGCAAUCGGUGGAUGAAGAUGCAAAUCAGAUGAAGAUGGAGUGAUGGAGAUGACAAGCAAAACUUUGCAGAUCUGAGUUUUUAUGGUUGUAAACCCUAUAUAUUUUUACGAAUCUUCUAAUUUGUUUUUGAAAUUUUUGAUUUUUUCAGUUGUUUAGUGGAUGAUUGUGGCAUUAGGUUCACUUGAGAUGUGAUUUCUUGUAUGUUGAAGGCUAUGAUGAUUUAGCUCUCCGCUUUAG